GUCGACCGCCUGGGGAGUACGGCCGCAAGGUUAAAACUCAAAUGAAUUGACGGGGGCCCGCACAAGCGGUGGAGCAUGUGGUUUAAUUCGAUGCAACGCGAAGAACCUUACCUACUCUUGACAUCCAGAGAACUUAGCAGAGAUGCUUUGGUGCCUUCGGGAACUCUGAGACAGGUGCUGCAUGGCUGUCGUCAGCUCGUGUUGUGAAAUGUUGGGUUAAGUCCCGCAACGAGCGCAACCCUUAUCCUUUGUUGCCAGCGGUUCGGCCGGGAACUCAAAGGAGACUGCCAGUGAUAAACUGGAGGAAGGUGGGGAUGACGUCAAGUCAUCAUGGCCCUUACGAGUAGGGCUACACACGUGCUACAAUGGCAUAUACAAAGAGAAGCGACC
rnacentral:rRNA from 1 species